rnacentral:rRNA from 1 species
AUGUUCCCGACCAAGGCUCUAGGGCCUGACGGUUUCCCUACACGCUUUUUUCAACAGCACAGGGAGUUUUGUGGUGAUGAGGUUACUGCUAUGGUGCUCCGAGUUCUAAACGGAGAGGAUUCCCCGAAGGAGAUUAACAAAACGUUCAUUGUUUUAUUUCCCAAGAUUGCGAGCCCAAAAAAUUUAGCACAGUUUCGACCGAUAAGCCUUUGCAAUGUGAUCUAUAAGAUUGCAUCCAAGGCAUUGGCAAAUCGGCUCAAGCUUAUUCUCCCCCAUGUCAUCUCUGAAGAACAGUCAGCAUUUGUACCAGGACGUCUUAUUACGGACAACUUCAUUUCAGCCUACGAAUGUCUCCACUAUAUGAAAACAAGGAAGCUGAAGGGCAACACGUACUGUGCCUUAAAACUCGAUAUGAUGAAGGCUUAUGACAGGCUCGAAUGGAACUAUUUGGAGAGAGUUAUGCUCAAACUGGGAAUCAACCCACGUUUCACAUAG